rnacentral:lncRNA from 1 species
AAUUGACUGCGGCCUUACUGUGUGCUCUGCCUUGUGCUGAGUAUCACGAAAAAGGAAUCAGAGGAAGAGCUCAAAAUUGUACAAGGAAGAAAGAAAUGUAACGAACUCAUGAUUCGGGCUUGGAGCCAACUGCAUUUUCUUCUACCAUUCUAUUGUGCUGUACCAUACUGUACUUUCAAGAGUGUAGAGGAAAUUGUGAGGAGUUCCAGAAAAAUGGUGGAAUGCAAACAGCUCCCCUUCUCUCCAGGAAACAGAGACCAGGUGACUGUGGUUUUUGAAGACUAAGCUCUCUCUGCCUUUGCGUAAGGAGGUACAAGAUUUCUGCUGAUAAAAAUUUGGAUUUCACUGCUCACUAAAAGAAGUGAUUAGAACUUUAGGCCUAAAGAAAUAUUUGGAAUCUGGAGAGACUGAGGCAGACUGGAAAAGUUUUGGAGAGGCCCAAACAUCACUGCCCAGAGUCAAGAAAGUGAUCUGAAAUACAGCUGCUGCCAGAGAUGCCCCGUGAGUGGGCUGAGAGAAGAGCCUUACGAGGGACGCUAAUGAAGCACUCAGGAACCGUAUUGAAUAAACUCUGCACAGGCCUCACCAAGGGAUUAUCUAGUUGAGUGGGAGUCCUGCCUCAACUAAACAAAUAAUCAUGGGCCGUUAUUCUCAGCCUAUGAUCAAGUCUUUUUGUCCUUUUUUUCCCUCAAGCAAAAACAAACUACUGCUCAAAACCCAAAGAUCAUUUAAAAAAAAAAAAAAGAAAGUCUGAGAAACUGUCCCAGUCAAGGGGAAUCUUAAGGAGACACAGCAAUUAAACGUAAUGUGGUGGUAUUCUAGAUGGGCUCCUGGAACAGAAAAAGGACAUUUGAUGAAAACUAAAGAAAUCUGAAUAAAUUGUAGACUUUAGCUAAUAACAACAUAUCCGGAUUGGUUCAUUAAUU